CCUACGGGAGGGCACCAGUGGGGAAUAUUGCACAAUGGGCGCAAGCCUGAUGCAGCCAUGCCGCGUGUGUGAAGAAGGCCUUCGGGUUGUAAAGCACUUUCAGCGGGGAGGACGGCGGUGAGGUUAAUAACCUCAUCGAUUGACGUUACCCGCAGAAGAAGCACCGGCUAACUCCGUGCCAGCAGCCGCGGUAAUACGGAGGGUGCAAGCGUUAAUCGGAAUUACUGGGCGUAAAGCGCACGCAGGCGGUCUGUCAAGUCGGAUGUGAAAUCCCCGGGCUCAACCUGGGAACUGCAUUCGAAACUGGCAGGCUAGAGUCUUGUAGAGGGGGGUAGAAUUCCAGGUGUAGCGGUGAAAUGCGUAGAGAUCUGGAGGAAUACCGGUGGCGAAGGCGGCCCCCUGGACAAAGACUGAUGCUCAGGUGCGAAAGCGUGGGGAGCAAACAGGAUUAGAUACCCCCGUAGUC
rnacentral:rRNA from 1 species